GACGAACGCUGGCGGCGUGCUUAACACAUGCAAGUCGAGCGGUAAGGCCCUUUCGGGGGUACACGAGCGGCGAACGGGUGAGUAACACGUGAGUAAUCUGCCCUUCACUUCGGGAUAAGCCUCAGAAAUGGGGUCUAAUACUGGAUAUGACUCGACUCUGCAUGGGGUUGGGUGGAAAGGUUUUUCCGGUGGGGGAUGUGCUCGCGGCCUAUCAGCUUGAUGGUGGGGUAAUGGCCUACCAUGGCUUCGACGGGUAGCCGGCCUGAGAGGGUGACCGGCCACACUGGGACUGAGACACGGCCCAGACUCCUACGGGAGGCAGCAGUGGGGACAUUGGACAUGGGCGGAAGCCUGAUCCAGCAACGCCGCGUGAGGGAUGACGGCCUUCGGGUUGUAAACCGUCUUUCAUCACCGACGAAGCUGCACUUGUGUGGUGACGGUAGGUGGAGAAGAAGCACCGGCCAACUACGU
rnacentral:rRNA from 1 species